GACCAAGAAGUCUAACAUGUGUGCGAGUCAUUGGGUAUUUUGUUGAAACCUAAGGGCGCAAUUAAAAUAACUAUUUUAUGGGAUUACAAGUGAAUUAAAUUUCAUUUCUUCAUCCCGGGGCGUUCUAUACGAACAUGGUUUGAGCAAUUGAAUCCUCUGUUCAAGAGCGUACCUUGAGCAUACAUGCUGUGACCCGAAAGAUGGUGAACUAUACCUGAUCAGAUCGAAGCCAGGAGAAAUUCUGGUGGAGGAUCGAAACAGUUCUGACGUGCAAAUCGAUUGUCAGAAUUGGGUAUAGGGGCGAAAGACCAAUCGAACCAUCUAGUAGCUGGUUCCCUCCGAAGUUUCCCUCAGGAUAGCUGGCGCAAAGAAUUAUAUUGUAUAUAAUCUUAUCUGGUAAAGCGAAUGAUUAGAGGCCUUGGGGCCGAAACGACCUCAACCUAUUCUCAAACUUUAAAUGGGUAAGAACCUCAUCUUUCUUGAUCUGAAGAUAUUGGGGUUUAGAUAUAUUGUGCCCAGUGGGCCACUUUUGGUAAGCAGAACUGGCGCUGUGGGAUGAACCAAACAUGAUGUUACGGCGCCUAAAUUAAUGACUCAUAUUGAUACCAUGAAAGGCGUUGGUUGCUUAAAACAGCAGGACGGUGGACAUGGAAGUCGUAAUCCGCUAAGGAGUGUGUAACAACUCACCUGCCGAAGCAACUAGCCCUUAAAAUGGAUGGCGCUCAAGUCAUAUGCCUAUACAUCAUCGCUAGAAUAAAAAUUGUUGGCCAUUCGGUCAUCAAUGUGAAAUUCUAGUGAGUAGGAGGGUACAAUGGUGUGCGCAGAAGUGUUUGGCGUGAGCCUGCAUGAAGCCGCCAUUGGCACAGAUCUUGGUGGUAGUAGCAAAUAAUCGAAUGAGAUCUUGGAGGACUGAAGUGGAGAAGGGUUUCGUGUGAACAGUGGUUGAUCACGAGUUAGUCGGUCCUAAGCCUUAUGCGAAAGCUGUUUAAUUUAUGUUACACACACAAUGCAAAUUUUGUUGUACAUAAUUCAAUAAAGGCGAAAGGGAAUACGGUUCCAAUUCCGUAACCUGUUGAGUAUACGUUUGUUUAUUAAAAAUGGGUCUUAUUACACUCAUCCUGGCAACAGGAACGACCAUAGAGAAGCCUUCGAGAGAUACUGGAAGAGUUUUCUUUUCUGCUAAACAAGCGUACCACCAUGGAAGUCUUUUAUAGAGAGAUAUGGUGGAUGGUUUGGAAGAGCAUGACAUUUACUGUUGUGUCAGUAUUUUCUCCUUGGACCUUGAAAAUCUAUGGUGGGGCCACGCAAACUUCUCAACAGACCGUACCGAUAUCCGCAG
rnacentral:rRNA from 1 species